GUCCACGCCCUAAACGAUGAUAACUCGAUGUUGGCGAUACACUGUCAGCGUCCAAGCGAAAGCAUUAAGUUAUCCACCUGGGGAGUACGACCGCAAGGUUGAAACUCAAAGGAAUUGACGGGGGCCCGCACAAGCGGAGGAGCAUGUGGUUUAAUUCGAUGAUACGCGAGGAACCUUACCAGGGCUUGAAAGUUAGUGAAUGUCGUAGAAAUAUGACAGCAAGCAAUUGCACGAAACUAGGUGCUGCAUGGCUGUCGU
rnacentral:rRNA from 1 species